CAGCCUGGCAGCAGCCGUAUUAGACAGUAUAAUCCUAGGCGCCCGAUUAUGCGACAAGCUGCCUGAUGCGUGGAACCGGUCAUCCCCCGAAACAAAGGCAUCAUGAUCAAACGCUUACUUGAAAAGCUCGGACGCGGAUGCAACACAAACGUCAAUACGACUUUUUAAAUGGCUGCUAGCAAUGAGUCGCUGUUAGGACGGCCUAACAAACCGGAUAUAAUUGCAAAGGAGAAUGGCGACGCCUUGGUUUUGCCAGACGCAGAUCCGGAGGACAGAUCGAAGAGUUCCCCUACCAGUGACUCUUGGUGGCCUAAAGAAUAUAAAACGAAGAGCAAGGUAGCAUGCGUACGGUAAAAAUUAUGGCAUACGGCCAGGAUGUCAAACACACAAACAGGUUGUCAGUUUCACUGCUAAAAAUAAACUAAUGCCAAAAAACACCGCAUUGGCAGGAGGGAAAGCUUAAUAAAAACGAGAAUAUCGGAACAACGAGCCGAUUUAACAUCAGCAGAACUUCCAAUUCUAUCAGGACCGCACGUUUUUUUUUCUUUGAUCAGACAAGAAUCCUUUCAAAAAGUACGCAUAAAAUAAACAAAACGUGAAUAUAUAUGUGUAUAUAUAUACAUAUAUAUGUGAAUAUAUAUGUGAAUGUGAAACAAGUCCGAAGUCACCCAUUUACGGCUCUAGAGGCUUCUAGAUGGCCUUGAAUUGCCGAAAAUAAGCAGCAGAAGUGCUACCUAGAUGUAGGACUAUUCAGCAACCAUGGCUAUCUAGCGAGAAAAAGCAAGCACCAAGGAACAGUGCGUGUGCCAGAUUUAUUCAAUACCUUGAAGACGUAGCUGCCGUAGCUGAAAGGUUUGUCGUUUUCUAACUCUAAUUGGUUAAACGAUAGUAUUGAGCGUAUUUGAGCUAUAUUCAGUAUUUUAUUUAGAAACUAGGAGAUUAUAGUUUUGAUCAGGCGCAAUUCAAAACAACGUUCAAACUUCGGCUUAACUGAACAGCGGAUUUUAUCGAUCUAUUGCAUUUCCUAUAAUUAUCCGAGAUAACCUAUUACUGAAUGUUACAACAGGCAUUCAUAUUGCAAAAACUAUUAUUUACUUGUUUAUAUAGUUCGAGUCUAAUUUAGCGGACUAAGGCUCAUCAUGGUAAAUUAACAAUAUGACAAUUUAAGCCUUUGGUCAGUUUCUCAUAUUGGCGUUACAACAUCUGUACUUCAAUCGAGGUUUUUGGGUGACAAUAUAAGACGACUAAGUGUUUGCAGUCCACUUAAAUGACAUUUUUCCUCAAAGUUAUGACGACCUCUUUUACGUAGUUGUAAUGUACACAAUCCGUUAGUGCCUUCUAGACGGAAAUUUUUAGGUGUAUGCUAUCCGCUAUCGACAAAUAAACGCGUGUAACUCUCAAAGUUUGCCCACACGUUUUCGGGAUGUAUUUGAAUGCAUUUUGUUAAACCAACUUUAUUAAGAUCGAUUUUUUUUUUUGAAAAUUGAAGCUUUUCGGUGCAGAUUUGUAAGCAUUUUAGCUAACACAUGAAUUCAUUUUUAGAAAAAUUACUUUAAUUAUCGAUCUGCCACUUAAACUAUCUAGACAAUUUUGUUUUGGAUAAGUACCAACAUGAACUAUAUUUGAUUAUACUUUUUUUUAAUAUUCGACGACUUUAAAUGUUUUUGGUGCCAUCCCAGAUGGCGCAGCGGUACUUACUCUAGUUGAUUUUGGUUGACGUUGAAAAAAUGAGUACAGGUUGGUUCAAGUAGCUGACCUGUCUGAAAUGAGUCUGGCCAAUUUUCCCCUUUUAAAACUAUGCUGACUACGGUAGAAGUGAACAGAUUGUCGAAACAUUAUAUUAUUUUGAUCUACAAAGCCGCACUAAUACUUCAUUAGUGCUACAUGGUAAUGUAAACAAGAUACGUUGCAAAGAUAGAGUAGGCUUUAUUGUAUUUAACACAUAGAACAAUACUGAAAAUCAAAUUGUAUGUCCCAUUAGAAUACUGACCUACUAAGAUCUUCGCCCGCCUGAGGCUCUUGACCAAGCGAUGAGUAGUUUAGUUUAACAUUACGAUUUGGUUUGUCGGAGUUUCCGUAGUCUAGAGAGAAGUGUUUAUAAUUUGAUCAGGAUCGCAUUGCAGUGCAUCGAAGGGCUUGACCAAUAUUCUUCUGCGGUAUAUAGCGGUUAUAUUCUGUUAGCUGACAUGGGUUCGCUUAUCAUUGGUCGUUUUAGCAUCAACCUUUGAUUCUACGAUUCGUUUGAGAUGAGAGGAUAGAUGCGGUUCCGUUGAACUACGUCCUUCGCCGUUAAGCCGAAUAAAAAACACAGUACUAAUACAGUUUCUGGCCUGACUAUACCGAUUGAUUAAUGUAAUUCUUACAUCAUCCGUUUUUAUCGCUACUUUCUCUGGGCCAAUUCGCAGAUCGCAGAUGAAAUAAAGACAACGACUUGUUAAUGUAAUACUGGAUAGAAGUCCUUCGGAAUCGCUGCUUCUCGGAAAGUCCCCUUACAUCGACAGCUCUGCUGCCCCUUCUCUUAUGUAACGAUAAUUUGUCCGUCGGCGAAGCUUCGCUAAGCUAUCCAAAUACAGGAGAUACAUACUAAAGCACGUACGGUCGAUUUAGCUUCGCCGCUAAAUCCUGGGGCAGCCCCAGGGUAGUCCGAACGCGCACCGACAUGUCAAACGAUGGCCGGUACAGGCUGAAAGCAAGGACCCACGUUUCCAAUAUUCGCUUAUUCAUUCGUUCUUCUUGGCUUCUGGACCCUUCCGUUCAUUGAAGCUAUUCAAUUGACAUGUACAGUUUCGCCAUCUUACCCAAAGUCAGCGUCCCUUGCCCAAGAGAAUACGAAAGUCCACGCGUACGUAUGCCAACACCCAUAAAAACCAAGAGUAUAUAAAUUCUCGGCAAACAAUAGGCAGUAUUCAUCUGUUUUGGUGUUUGCUACAAAGCGAAAGCCAACGCUCCUGCUCCGAGAAACAUGCGUCUCUUGACUCUGCUUGUUGUCCUUACAACACUGGCGAUCUCGGUCCUAGAUGCUAGGCAUCUGAUCGCGAAGAAAGUCGCUAAGAAGCUCGCCGUACCAGUCCUAGCUGGCGGCGCCGCCGGAGCUGCCCUUGGUGUAGGCGCCGGUGCUUUAUUUGCAUCUCAGCACGGCGGCUACAAUUAUGGACACAGCUAUGGAGGGUGGAACAACUAUGGCGAUGGAUACGGUUACGGAUGGUGAAAGUCCGAACAAGUUGAAGAUUGUUCUCAUCGUAGGGAAAGUUGAGACGUUUGACUCAAGAUAUUUCCACUUCUCGUCUGCUGUAUUGACUUUGUCAAUAAGCAAAGGCUAAUUCUAUCAGCGGAUACGCUCAUUGAUUCCAUUGCCUUCUGUUUUUUCCAGCAACAUAAUGUAUAUAAAAAUUAUGUCAAUUUCCCUGUGUAUAUUUAAAUAACGUUGUAUCAAAAUGUGUCGAAAUAAACCACGUAACUAUGUGGA